CAGCUAUUUCAAACCAUAAAGAUGAGGGCUGUCCCCUAGGGAUGGUAGAACUAAGAGCCAGAAAAGACUAAGUUCUCGAUAAUCAUUUGGAACUGCAAUAGUGGUCCUGGACUACCUAUCUCUAGACUUCUUUUACAUAGGGAGAAAUAUACUUCUCUGUGAAGCCACAACCUUUUAGGAUUUUCUGUCACUUGCAGGUGAAUAUAAAUCUGUUGGAUACAAUAUUGUGUGCAUGGUAGGUGGGCCGUCAGUGGUGAGCCGGGGCUGCCAUUCAGAGAGGUGGUAGCAGCUCUCCAGACUGAAAAGGAUCUGGAUGGUUUCAGUGAUGGAGGCAGCAGAUUAUCUGGGCUGAGCUCAAAGUCCCAUGCAAAUGAAGGCUCCACCUACUCAGAAGUCCUCGGGCAGCAUUUAAGGACACGAAUCACCUGACUUCACUGCGGGGAAAUCCUCUCACGGCAUGACUUCCUGUCACAGUAGAAUAGAACCCACGCUCCGACCCAUGACCUACAGCUCUCAGCAUGCUCACUCUAAGAGCUCUGCCAGCUUACAGCCCUCACGUCCUCAUGGUGCCAGCAGCCUCCAAACCUGGUCCUGCGACACAGGAUCUCUGUUGGUUCCUCAUCCUGGGAUGCUUUUCCCAGACCCUCCAUGUCUAGCUCCUUCCUCCCAUUAUCUGACAGCUCUGUGGAAUGCAACCCCACCCACCCAUCAUCACUAUCUCCCAUUCUGCCUUAGUUUCUUCCUUCGUUCUUCCUUUUCUUUUUGACAAGGUCUUGCUCUGUUGCCCAGGCUGGAGUUCAAUAGUGCAAUCAUGGCUCACUGCAGCCUCAACCUCCUUGAUCCUUGAUCCUCCCAUCUCAGCCUCCCAGGUAGCUGGGACCACAGGUGUAAGCCACCAAACCUGGCUAAUUUUUGUUGUUGUUGUUUGCGUUUUUGAGAAAGGGUCUCACUCUGUUGCUCCCUGGGUUCAAGUGAUUCUCCCAUCUGAGCCUCCCGAGUAUCUGGGACUAUAGGCACGUGCCACUACGCCCGGCUAAUUUUUGUUUUUGUUUUUGCUUUUGUUUUUGUUUGAGACUGAGUCUCACUCUGUUGCCCAGGCUGGAGUGUAGUGGUGCAAUCUCCACUCACCGCAACCUCCACCUCCUGGGUUCAAGCGAUUCUCCUGCCUCAGUCUCCCAAGUAGCUGGGAUUACAGGCGCAUGCCACUAUGCCCGGCUAAUUUUUGUAUUUUUAGUAGAGAUGGGGUUUUGCCAUGUUGGCCAGGCUGGUCUUGAACUCCUGACCUCAGGUGAUCCACCCACCUCAGCCUCCCAAAGUGCUAGGAUUACAGGCAUGAGCCACUGCACCCAGCCAGACUUGCUAAUUUUUGUAUUUUUUUUGUAGAGACGGAGUUUCACUAUGUUGCCCAGGCUGGUCUUGAACUUCUGGGCCAAGUGAUCUGCCAAAGUGCUGGGAUUACAUGUGUGAACCACCAUGACUGGCCUGCCUUAGUUUUCUUAGUAGUAUUUAUCCCUGCCUAAAAUUCUCUUCGAUGACUAUUGUCUUACACAUGCAUUUGUUUACUGAUUUCUCUCCUUCCCUAGAACGUACAAGUUCCAUGGAAGCAGAGACUUAGUUGGCUUGUUCACCACUCUAUCUCCAAUGCCUAGAUGGUGGCUGGCACUCAUGAGGAGCUCAAUAAAUAUAUGUUGAAUGAAUGGAUG
rnacentral:lncRNA from 1 species